rnacentral:tRNA from 1 species
GCUUGGUUGGCUCAGCUGGUUAGAGCGCCGGUCUCAUAGACACUAUGAGUAAGCUUGUGUAAGCCUACGCAAUCCGGAGAUCACCAGUUCGAUCCUGGUACCGAGCA